rnacentral:tRNA from 1 species
GACACUAUGGCCGAGUGGUUAAGGCGACAGAUUCGAAUUCGCUCAAUUAUCUGUUUCCCUCUGGGAGCGCAGGUUCAAAUCCUGCUGGUGUCG